UUUAAUUUCUGUUUUAUUAAUUUUCCCAUAAAUCUACAGACAUACAUUUCAGAGGAUAUAUAUCAAGUAGAUUGUAUCCCCACAAAGAAGCAAUAAAGCGAUUGUUUAUUCUGACAUGCUUCACCAUGAAGAGUUCACACAUUGGAAGGAGCAUUAAAGGAAAAAGAGAUGUGUCCCUCCAUUUUCAUUUGAACUUAUACAUCCUUGAAAACAGAAAAAUGAGGUGCAAUGACAAGAAAAGAAGAGUGGUGUCAUCAGCUUAAGAACAGACACAGAGCCAUAGUGAAAUCACAGAGGACAUCAUGGACAUUUAAGUCCACAAGAGAGUACUGCAAACCCUGAUCUUAUGCAGUGACAGACCGCAGCAGAGCAGGGAGAGGUUUCUCCGAGUAUGAUGUUGUUUCAGGCACACUUGCUCCCUGAACAUUCC
rnacentral:lncRNA from 1 species